UCAGACAUAGUGUAUCGCAACACGGCCCCUGUCGUUUAUGGUCUCCCCAAAAGUUGCACUCGGGGCAGUUCCGGGUUCGAUUCCCGGUGUCUGAU